rnacentral:rRNA from 1 species
UACGUAGGUGACAAGCGUUAUCCGGAAUUACUGGGCGUAAAGCGCACGCAGGCGGCGCAUUAAGUCUGAUGUGAAAUCUCCCGGCUUAACUGGGAGGGGUCAUUGGAAACUGAUGUGCUCGAGGCGGUGAGAGGGGUGUAGAAUUCCCGGUGUAGUGGUGGAAUGCGUAGAUAUCGGGAGGAAUACCGGUGGCGAAGGCGGCCUGCUGGGCAGUUGCUGACACUGAGGCGCGACAGCGUGGGGAGCAAACAGG